rnacentral:rRNA from 1 species
GAUGAACGCUGGCGGCGUGCUUAAUACAUGCAAGUCGAGCGAACAGACGAGGAGCUUGCUCCUCUCACGUUAGCGGCGGACGGGAGAAUAACACGUGUAUAACCUACCUAUAAGACUGGUAUAACUUCGGGAAACCGGAGCUAAUACCGGAUAAUCUAUUGAACCGCAUGGUUCAAUAGUGAAAGACGGCUGUGCUGUCACUUAUAGAUGGAUCUGGGCCGCAUUAGCUAGUUGGUCAGGUAACGGCUUAGCACGGCAACGAUGCGUAGCCGACGUGAUAGAGUGGUAGGCCACCUUAGAGGGUAGACACCGACCAUACUCCUGCGAGAGGCAGCAGUAGCCUAUCGUCCGCAAUAGUGGGAAGCCUGGCGGAGCGACGGGACGUGAGUGAUGACAGUGUUCGGAUCGUAAUGAUCUGUUAUGAGUUGAGAACCGAUGUGUCAGUAGCUAUGCACGUCUUGACGGUACCUAGUCAGAAAGCCACGGCUAACUACGUG